rnacentral:rRNA from 1 species
GACGGAGGGUGCAAGCGUUGUUCGGAUUGACUGGGCGUAAAGGGCGUGUAGGCGGUCGGCCAAGUCUGAUGUGAAAGCCCGAGGCUCAGCCUCGGAAGUGCGUCGGAAACUAGUCGGCUGGAGCGCGAUAGAGGAGGGUGGAAUUCCUGGUGUAGCGGUGAAAUGCGUAGAUAUCAGGAGGAACACCGGCGGCGAAGGCGGCCCUCUGGAUCGUUGCUGACGCUGAGACGCGAAAGCGUGGGGAG